UACGUAGGGUGCAAGCGUUGUCCGGAAUUAUUGGGCGUAAAGAGCUCGUAGGCGGCUCGUCGCGUCGGCUGUGAAAACCUGGGGCUCAACCCCGGGCCUGCAGCCGAUACGGGCGGGCUAGAAUUCGGUAGGGGAGACUGGAAUUCCUGGUGUAGCGGUGAAAUGCGCAGAUAUCAGGAGGAGCACCGGUGGCGAAGGCGGGUCUCUGGGCCGAUAUUGACGCUGAGGAGCGAAAGCGUGGGGAGCGAACAGG
rnacentral:rRNA from 1 species